rnacentral:rRNA from 1 species
ACGGAUGGGGCAAGCGUUGUUCGGAAUUAUUGGGCGUAAAGGGCGUGUAGGCGGGGGAUUAAGUUAGAUGUGAAAGCCACGGGCUCAACCCGUGAACUGCAUCUAAGACUGGUUAUCUUGAGUUCGGGAGAGGAGAGCGGAAUUCCAGGUGUAGCGGUGAAAUGCGUAGAUAUCUGGAAGAACACCAGUGGCGAAGGCGGCUCUCUGGCCUGAAACUGACGCUGAAGCGCGAAAGCGUGGGGAGCGAACAG